AAACCGACACAGGUGGUCAGGUAGAGAAUACUCAGGCGCUUGAGAGAACUCGGGUGAAGGAACUAGGCAAAAUAGCACCGUAACUUCGGGAGAAGGUGCGCCGGCGUAGAUUGUAGUCCCUAGCGGAUGAAGGUUGAACCGGUCGAAGAUACCAGCUGGCUGCAACUGUUUAUUAAAAACACAGCACUCUGCAAACACGAAAGUGGACGUAUAGGGUGUGAUGCCUGCCCGGUGCUGGAAGGUUAAUUGAUGGUGUAAUCGAAAGAGAAGCUCCUGAUCGAAGCCCCAGUAAACGGCGGCCGUAACUAUAACGGUCCUAAGGUAGCGAAAUUCCUUGUCGGGUAAGUUCCGACCUGCACGAAUGGCAUAAUGAUGGCCAGGCUGUCUCCACCCGAGACUCAGUGAAAUUGAAAUCGCCGUGAAGAUGCGGUGUACCCGCGGCUAGACGGAAAGACCCCGUGAACCUUUACUAUAGCUUGACACUGAACAUUGAAUUUUGAUGUGUAGGAUAGGUGGGAGCCUUUGAAGCAGUCACGCCAGUGAUUGUGGAGGCGUCCUUGAAAUACCACCCUUUAACGUUUGAUGUUCUAACGAAGAUUACGAAACGUGGUCUCGGACAGUGUCUGGUGGGUAGUUUGACUGGGGCGGUCUCCUCCCAAAGAGUAACGGAGGAGCACGAAGGUUUGCUAAUGACGGUCGGACAUCGUCAGGUUAGUGCAAUGGUAUAAGCAAGCUUAACUGCGAGACAGACAAGUCGAGCAGGUACGAAAGUAGGUCAUAGUGAUCCGGUGGUUCUGAAUGGAAGGGCCAUCGCUCAACGGAUAAAAGGUACUCCGGGGAUAACAGGCUGAUACCGCCCAAGAGUUCAUAUCGACGGCGGUGUUUGGCACCUCGAUGUCGGCUCAUCACAUCCUGGGGCUGAAGUAGGUCCCAAGGGUAUGGCUGUUCGCCAUUUAAAGUGGUACGCGAGCUGGGUUUAGAACGUCGUGAGACAGUUCGGUCCCUAUCUGCCGUGGGCGUUGGAGAAUUG
rnacentral:rRNA from 1 species